rnacentral:rRNA from 1 species
CCCCGGUAAACGGCGGCCGUAACUAUAACGGUCCUAAGGUAGCGAAAUUCCUUGUCGGGUAAGUUCCGACCUGCACGAAUGGCGUAAUGAUGGCCAGGCUGUCUCCACCCGAGACUCAGUGAAAUUGAACUCGCUGUGAAGAUGCAGUGUACCCGCGGCAAGACGGAAAGACCCCGUGAACCUUUACUAUAGCUUGACACUGAACAUUGAGCCUUGAUGUGUAGGAUAGGUGGGAGGCUUUGAAGUGUGGACGCCAGUCUGCAUGGAGCCGACCUUGAAAUACCACCCUUUAAUGUUUGAUGUUCUAACGUGGACCCGUAAUCCGGGUUGCGGACAGUGUCUGGUGGGUAGUUUGACUGGGGCGGUCUCCUCCUAAAGAGUAACGGAGGAGCACGAAGGUUGGCUAAUCCUGGUCGGACAUCAGGAGGUUAGUGCAAUGGCAUAAGCCAGCUUGACUGCGAGCGUGACGGCGCGAGCAGGUGCGAAAGCAG